UAGGGAAUCUUCCGCAAUGGGCGAAAGCCUGACGGAGCAACGCCGCGUGAGUGAUGAAGGUCUUCGGAUCGUAAAACUCUGUUAUUAGGGAAGAACAAAUGUGUAAGUAACUAUGCACGUCUUGACGGUACCUAAUCAGAAAGCCACGGCUAACUACGUGCCAGCAGCCGCGGUAAUACGUAGGUGGCAAGCGUUAUCCGGAAUUAUUGGGCGUAAAGCGCGCGUAGGCGGUUUUUUAAGUCUGAUGUGAAAGCCCACGGCUCAACCGUGGGGGGUCAUUAGAAGCUGGAAAACUUGAGUGCAGAAGAGGAAAGUGGAAUUCCAUGUGUAGCGGUGAAAUGCGCAGAGAUAUGGAGGAACACCAGUGGCGAAGGCGACUUUCUGGUCUGUAACUGACGCUGAUGUGCGAAAGCGUGGGGAUCAAACAGG
rnacentral:rRNA from 1 species